rnacentral:rRNA from 1 species
UACGUAGGGGGCAAGCGUUGUCCGGAAUCAUUGGGCGUAAAGAGCGUGUAGGCGGCCCGAUAAGUCCGCCGUGAAAGUCCAGGGCUCAACCCUGGGAUGCCGGUGGAAACUGUCGGGCUAGAGUCCGGAAGAGGCGAGUGGAAUUCCUGGUGUAGCGGUGAAAUGCGCAGAUAUCAGGAGGAACACCAAUGGCGAAGGCAGCUCGCUGGGACGGUACUGACGCUGAGACGUGAAAGCGUGGGGAGCAAACAGG